AUUGAACGAGGGAGGAAGGAGGUACACAUGCAAGUCGAACGGCAGCGCGUGUGUCGGCCUGGCGGCGAGUGGCGAACUGGUGAGUAAUACAUCGGUACGUGCCCAGUAGUGGGUGAUAGCCUGGCUAAAGCCGGAUUAAUACCGCAUACGACCUGAUGUGGUAAGCGGGAGAUCUUCGGACCUCGCGUGAGUUUGUUUGCGGAUGGCUGUUUUUCUAGUUGGUGGGGUAAAGUUCUACCAAGGCGACGAUCUGUAGCUGGUCUGAGAGGACACCCAGCCACACUGGGACUGAGACACGUCCCAGACUCCUACGGGAGCACGCAGUGGGCACAUUUGGACAAUGGGCGAAAGCCUGAUCCAGCAAUGCCGCGUGUGAGAUGAAGGAAUUCGGGUUGUAAAUCCCUGUUGGCUCGAACGACAAAAAAUGUGCCAAUACCACGGUUCGAUGACGGUACCCGCAGUAUAAGACCCUUCUCCUUACGUU
rnacentral:rRNA from 1 species